CUGCCCUGUACAGGGGGAUAACACUUAGAAAUAGGUGCUAAAACCGCAUAAGCGCACAGCUUCGCAUGAAGAAGUGUGAAAAACUCCGGUGGUACAGGAUGGACCCGCGUCUGAUUAGCUUGUUGGAGGGGUAACGGCCCACCAAGGCGACGAUCAGUAGCCGGCCUGAGAGGGUGAACGGCCACAUUGGGACUGAGACACGGCCCAAACUCCUACGGGAGGCAGCAGUGGGGAAUAUUGCACAAUGGGGGAAACCCUGAUGCAGCGACGCCGCGUGAGUGAAGAAGUAUUUCGGUAUGUAAAGCUCUAUCAGCAGGGAAGAAAAUGACGGUACCUGACUAAGAAGCCCCGGCUAACUACGUGCCAGCAGCCGCGGUAAUACGUAGGGGGCAAGCGUUAUCCGGAUUUACUGGGUGUAAAGGGAGCGUAGACGGUGAUGCAAGUCUGAUGUGAAAGCCCGGGGCUCAACCGCGGGACUGCAUUGGAAACUGUAUGACUGGAGUGCAGGAGAGGUAAGUGGAAUUCCUAGUGUAGCGGUGAAAUGCGUAGAUAUUAGGAGGAACACCAGUGGCGAAGGCGGCUUACUGGACUGUAACUGACGUUGAGGCUCGAAAGCGUGGGGAGCAAACAGGAUUAGAUACCCUGGUAGUCCACGCCGUAAAC
rnacentral:rRNA from 1 species